AACACGUGGGUAACCUGCCUGGAAGUGGGGGGAUAACCUGGGGAAACUCGGGCUAACACCGCAUACGUUCUCCGUGCUUCGGCACAGAGAGGAAAGCUGGCCUAUGCUUGCAAGCCAGCGCUUUCAGAGGGGCCCGCGGCCGAUUAGCUAGUUGGUGGGGUAAUGGCCCACCAAGGCGACGAUUGGUAGCCGGCCUGAGAGGGCGAUCGGCCACACUGGGACUGAGACACGGCCCAG
rnacentral:rRNA from 1 species